GACCUUAAGGUGUUCUUACAUAUUCAAUUGCAAAUUGAAAGUUACUUUUAAUCAAAGUUAAGGUUU
rnacentral:tRNA from 1 species